UACGUAGGGGGCAAGCGUUGUCCGGAUUUAUUGGGCGUAAAGAGCGUGUAGGCGGCCAUACAGGUCAGCUGUGAAAACUCGAGGCUCAACCUCGAGACGUCGGUUGAAACCGUAUGACUAGAGUCCGGAAGAGGAGAGUGGAAUUCCCGGUGUAGCGGUGAAAUGCGCAGAUAUCGGGAAGAACACCUAUGGCGAAGGCAGCUCUCUGGACCACAACUGACGCUGAGGCGCGAAAGCUAGGGGAGCAAACAGG
rnacentral:rRNA from 1 species